UUAUUUUAUUUUAGUUAUUAUUUUUAUUAUUAUUUUAUUUUACAUGUAAAUUUUUGUGUGAAAUUAUUUAUAUUUUUAAUAAAUUAAAUAAUUUAUAUGAUUCGCAGUAAUUAAUAUUAAAAUAAAAAAGAAAUUUUGUAUUAGUAAUAAUAUUUAAUAUUGGUAAAAUUUGUGCCAGCUACCGCGGUUAUACAAAUAAUAUAAAUAAAAAUUUUUAGUAUUAGUUAAAUUAAUAAUAUUUAAUAUAAAUAUAAAUUUAUUAGGUGAAAUUUUUAAAUUUAUUUAUUAUUAAAAUAAUGAUUAAUUUAAGCUAUAAACUUUUUAAUUUAAACUAGGAUUAGAUACCCUAUUAUUGAAAAUAAAUAUUUAAAAUACUAAAGUAGUAUUAGUUAUAUUCUUAAAAUUUAAAAAAUUUGGCGGUAUUUUAGUCUAUUCAGAGGAAUCUGUCCUAUAAUUGAUAAUCCGCAUUGAACCUUACUUAAAUUUGUUUAAUUUGUAUAUCGCCGUCAUCAGAAUAUGUUAUAAGAUAAAAUUUUCUUUAUAUUUGAUUAGAUAAAAUGUCAGGUCAAGGUGCAGUUUAUGUUUAAGUAGAGAUGGAUUACAAUAAAUUUAUUUAUAUGGAAAAUUUUUUGAAAAAAAAGUUUAAAAGUGGAUUUGAAAGUAAUAUAAAAUAGAUUAUUUAUUUGAUUUUAGCUCUAAAAUAUGCACAUAUCGCCCAUCGUUCUUAUUUUUAAAAUAAGAUAAGUUGUAACAUAGUAGGUGUACUGGAAAGUGUACCUAGAAAGA
rnacentral:ncRNA from 1 species